CACGUAGGGUGCGAGCGUUGUCCGGAAUUAUUGGGCGUAAAGAGCUCGUAGGCGGUGUAUCGCGUCGGCCGUGAAAACCUGCAGCUUAACUGUGGGCUUGCGGUCGAUACGGGCAUCACUGGAGUUCGGCAGGGGAGACUGGAAUUCCUGGUGUAGCGGUGAAAUGCGCAGAUAUCAGGAGGAACACCGGUGGCGAAGGCGGGUCUCUGGGCCGAUACUGACGCUGAGGAGCGAAAGCGUGGGGAGCGAACAGG
rnacentral:rRNA from 1 species